AGCAGCCGCGGUAAUUCCAGCUCCAAUAGCGUAUAUUAAAGUUGCUGCAGUUAAAAAGCUCGUAGUUGAAUUUCGGGACUAAUAUGUCGGUCGUGCCUCGGUACGUACUGGUUUAUUGGUUUCUCCUUUCUGAAGAACCAUGAUGUCAUUUAUUUGGUGUCGUGGGGAAUCAGGACUGUUACUUUGAAAAAUUAGAGUGUUUAAAGCAGGCUCACGCUUGAAUACAUUAGCAUGGAAUAAUGAAAUAGGACGUUUGAUUCUAUUUUGUUGGUUUCUAGGAUCGACGUAAUGAUUAAUAGGGAUAGUUGGGGGCAUUAGUAUUCAAUUGUCAGAGGUGAAAUUCUUGGAUUUAUUGAAGACUAACUACUGCGAAAGCAUUUGCCAAGGAUGUUUCAUUAAUCAAGAACGAAAGUUAGGGGAUCGAAGACGAUCAGAUACCGUCGUAGUCUUAACCAUAAACUAUGCCGACUAGGGAUCGGAUGAUGUUAAUUUUUUAAUGUACUCUAUUACGGCGCCUUAA
rnacentral:misc_RNA from 1 species